AACAGUGCACGGUCGGACCUAGACGAACGCCGACACCCGCGAUCGUGUUAUAAAUGCUUUGUUUGUUGACUUACAAAGCCAAACAGUGUCAUCCACUUCAUUGCCGGCAUGAGUUCUGAAGAGAUUUAUAACCAAACAUGCGAAGGUGAGAUGUGGACGUGUGUGGAGAGUGGGGGCGGAGGUGGCGCGGCGCCGUGCUCGCGCGCCAAGCACUCAGCGACACUGCUGGGCGGCCACCUGUACGUGCUGGGCGGCCGCGGCGCCGGCGGCUCUCUACCGCUCAGGGACUUUUGGCGGUAUUCCCUCGAACGCGGCGAGUGGGAGCGUCUGGAGCAG